rfam:Streptomyces albus subsp. albus strain NRRL B-2513 B2513contig81.1, whole genome shotgun sequence.
CUUGAGGGAGCCCAGCCACAGCGGGCGGUCCGCCGGGCGGUCCUGACCGUAGGUGGCCAGCAGCGCCUGCGCCUC